rnacentral:rRNA from 1 species
GAGUUUGAUCAUGGCUCAGAACGUACGCUGGCGGCACGCCUAACACAUGCAAGUCGAACGAAGUAGCAAUACUUAGUGGCAGACGGGUGAGUAACAUGUAGGUAUCUACCCUUUGGCCUGGAAUAACACGAGGAAACUUGUGCUAAUACUGGAUAAGUCUUUACGGAGAAAGCUUUAUGCACCAUUGGAUGAGCCUGCACUUGAUUAGUUUGUUGGUGGGGUAAUGGCCUACCAAGACUGUGAUCAAUAGCUGAUUUGAGAGGAUGAUCAGCCACAUUGGGACUGAGACACGGCCCAAACUCCUACGGGAGGCAGCAGUGGGGAAUCUUGCACAAUGGAGGAAACUCUGAUGCAGCGAUGCCGCGUGAGUGAAGAAGGCCCUUGGGUUGUAAAGCUCUUUCGUCGGGGAAGAAAAUGACUGUACCCGAAUAAGAAGGUCCGGCUAACUUCGUGCCAGCAGCCGCGGUAAUACGAAGGGACCUAGCGUAGUUCGGAAUUACUGGGCUUAAAGAGUUCGUAGGUGUUGAAAAAGUUGGUGGUGAAAUCCCAGAGCUUAACUCUGGAACUGCCAUCAAAACUUUUCAGCUAGAGUUUGAUAGAGGAAAGCAGAAUUUCUAGUGUAGAGGUGAAAUUCGUAGAUAUUAGAAAGAAUACCAAUUGCGAAGGCAGCUUUCUGGAUCAUUACUGACACUGAGGAACGAAAGCAUGGGUAGCGAAGAGGAUUAGAUACCCUCGUAGUCCAUGCCGUAAACAAUGUGUGUUAGACGUUGGAAAUUUAUUUUCAGUGUCGCAGCGAAAGCGAUAAACACACCGCCUGGGGAGUACGACCGCAAGGUUAAAACUCAAAUGAAUUGACGGGGACCCGCACAAGUAGUGGAGCAUGUGGUUUAAUUCGAAGAUACGCGCAGAACCUUACCAACACUUGACAUGUUCGUCGCGACUUUAAGAGAUUAAAGUUUUCGGUUCGGCCGGACGAAACACAGGUGCUGCAUGGCUGUCGUCAGCUCGUGUCGUGAGAUGUUGGGUUAAGUCCCGCAACGAGCGCAACCCUCACUUUUAGUUGCCAUCAUUUAGUUGGGCACUCUGAAAGAACUGCCAGUGAUAAGCUGGAGGAAGGUGGGGAUGACGUCAAGUCCUCAUGGCCCUUACGUGUUGGGCUACACACGUGCUACAAUGGUAUCUACAACAGGAAGCAAGACGGCGACGUUAAGCAAAUCCUUAAAAGAUACCUCAGUUCGGAUUGCACUCUGCAACUCGAGUGCAUGAAGCUGGAAUUACUAGUAAUCGUGGAUCAGCGUGCCACGGUGAAUGCGUUCCCGGGUCUUGUACACACCGCCCGUCACACCAUGGGAGUUGGUUCUACCUUAAGGCAAGGUUUAAUACCCUUGACCACGGUAUAGUCAGCGACUGGGGUGAAGUCGUAACAAGGUAACC